UGAAAAAAAAAGCACUAUUUCUUUUACAAAUUGACAUAUAUUACUUAAAUAAAGGACAUAUUCACCAGCCGAACAUGUAUGCAUAAAUGCAUAUACAAAAAGUAUUAUUCACCCUACAACAAAAUGACGUAAGUAGAUUGGGUGCGAGUUCAUGUGUAGCAAUCAUAUUGGGCAUUUUCAUUAUACCAUUAAUAGUUAAAAACAGGUCAACGUAAAAAAUAGUAAUCAAACAUCAACUAAUCAAAGUGACGUAAUGUUAUUUUUUUGUAAUCAUGUUCUACCUAAUUCUAAUUUUAGCAGUCAUAUUUUACAAUUUUAAUUAACGAAGUGAGUGUCAAAAACAUUAAAUUAACAACAUUUUACAUUGUACACUAUGAUCUAAGAAUGACAAUCGUACAAGACCGAAUGCUUGUUCUGAGUGGUUCAGAAUGGACCAGGCUCCAUUGUUCGGUCACGGUGAUUCAGAAAGUACCGGAUCCCGUGCAAUUUUUGGUGGUUAGAAAUGCACUAGAUCACAAUCCUGUUGCCAUAGAAGUUCUGAGCUAGCUUGUAGAUAUCAUUCAUAAUGGCAAACUUGUGCAAAUAUUUGGAGUACUAGUAUGUGUGCUCUAGUCGUCAUUCGAUUUCAUCAAUGUACUCACAAUAUCAGGAGAGUUCAGGACUUGCAUUGUCAGCUAUAAGAUCUAUGAUCCAGUACGAUAGAUUACUAACAUGCUCUGAUAUUAAUUACAAAUGUGUAAGUUAUAUACCUUGUAUGCUUGGGGGUCACUUCACCCGUUGUUGUUGAAGUAACAUAAAAUUAGAGAUGGAGCUAAUGGGCGGAUGGUAUGAGUUCAACGUAUGGAAUAAGGCAAAAUAUUACCUAGAAGGGGAAUGGAGGAUGUCCGCUAGCAUUUAGAUAUUAAACAAGUUGAUGAGUUGUGUUUUGUCAUUGCCCAAUCAUCCACAAACACUUAACUCUUUGCCAUAUGCGCCGGUUGCAGGCGGUUUUAGACUGCCUAGAUCAGGGCGGACCAAGAAGAAAGUUUGAGUGGAGGCCAAAUAUAUGAGUGGGGGCACUCUUCAAGAAAAUUUGAAUGAUUCAAGAUUUUUUCUUAUAUAUCUGCAUACAUUUAAGAGAGAUUUAGAAAUUUGAGUGGGAGCUUAUGCCCCCAUUCAUGCCUUCUUGGGUCCGCCCCUGCCUAGAUGCACAAUAGGUCAAUUUUGUUGCGUCGUUACUUAGAAAAUACCAAAACACUGUCUGGGUACUUAUGAUUUGUGCUAACUUUAAGGAAAUCUCGAUCUUUUUUCUUCAGCGGAAUACGGGGCUGAACAGCAGUUGUGCGAGAUGGAGGAAUGUGUACAUACAAAAGUUAACAUACAAGUCAUGCGUCAUUCUUGCACUACAGGCACUUAAGGAUGUGUACAUUACAUGGACGACGCCAAUAAUAUGACACUCAUAAUAAGCAAAAACAUUACAUGGACGUGGACACUAGAAUAGAAACAUAAGUUUAACUUCGUUUUUUGGGAGAGGGUGCACAAGUGGAUCUACGAAAGAUAACUUUUUACAUAUGGGUUAACAUGGGCCUGAAUUUCUCUGGAGAAUCGGGUAAACGCCUGAUUUCGUUCAAAUCAUGGAAGAUGAGGCGGGAGAGGUCUUAGAUCUGUACUGCUUCUCCUUUGCCUGCGGUACACAAACUUUCGGUGAGAAAGUGCAACACUGAAAGGAUAAACAUCAUAUGGAAUUAAGUCCGUUGACUGAAAUUGCCGGUUUAAUGCUACAACGAAGCUGACUCUCUUUGCUAUCCUAGUGGUGCAGGAGCUUCUUUGUGAAUAAUGCACUUCCUUGCUCAAAUCGGCCAUUCAGAGAAAUCUUCGAGCUGUUGACUUGCCACUGUUUGAAAAGCAUCACUCAGGCCUUCAAUCGAUCUGUAACCGCAGGGGUCAUUUCGUUCUUCAAAUGAGCCACCAUUCUUUCUCCAGUCAAUCAAGUCCAGAACAUCACUGCGAAUGUUGACUAGGUUGACGCGGUACAUAGAUAAGUGGUUGCUGUGGUGAUAUGUACAAAGGAUCUGAAUAUAUUUAUGUGGCAAGCAAUACUAAUUAAUGUACUGUAUAGAAUAAAACGUCAAUUGCAUCUGAAGUUCUGAACAACCUAAUCAGUAAGACUGCUCCGGUCUUAAAAUUCAAUUGGAAUGCAAAGCCAUCCAUUCUGUUGUGCUAUGCACGUCUCUAUAUUGGUUAAGCCUAGUUUCAUAUUCAGCAUAUGGGCUCAUAAAGUGAAGGUUACAUGGUAAAGAUGAUGUGGUUUAAGUAACACAAGGAAGCUUCAGGUAAGUUUUGUAUGUUUCAGCGAAAAUAAGACUCGCUGCCAUCAUCGCAACAGGCCCAGCUGGAAUCCAUGAAUUUUGGCUUGCCAAUUGGUCUUCUGUUGUUCAGUAUCUAUAUCCGGAUUGUCCCCAAUCAAGGAUUCACUAAAAUAGUUGGGACGAAAAUGUAAUGUGGUAGGAUUGUAGUGAGCCAGUGCAAAAAUUCGGUGUAGAUAGUAGCAAAAAAUUCAUUCAUCCCAAAAAUUGUUGCAUCAAAUGUUUCAGAUGUACCGAGGUAGAUCCAGCAUAAGGACUCGGUACUGAAAGAGCGGAGAGAAGGGGGGAAGAAUACGAGAUGUACCAAAAGGCAUAGAGUGGGAGCAACACCAAGAUCUAGGAGCAGCAAUAAGGCCUGAUGAAGAUGCUGUUGGGAUUGAGGCUAGGUACUUCAGAAAUGGACAGGCUACGUGGGUCUGAAGUGAAAAUUUUGUUGCGUGAAAGAAAAACUGGCGCUUAUUUUGGACUUGGAUCAUACACUGAUUAACUCAACGACACUCCAUGAGAUUUCUCCUGCUGAGAUGGACCUGGGAAUUCAGACUGCUGCGUCAAAAGAUCCAAGCAUGCACCGAGGAUGGCAGGCAUCUAGAAGCCAUCAUCGCGUUCGGCGCACGAAGGGACCGCACCCGUGAUAGUACCGUGCACGGGGGAUACCGGCCAUGUCACUGCCGUCGUCAUACAUUGCGCGGAGGAUGCUGUCAUGUUGGCACCGCUGUCAUAGUGUUGUGUAGAAGCUAGCUGAAUAGAGAGGCCCCCAAGAUUAGAUUAGGGAGGUUCCUCCAUUUAUCCUUAGGGUAAAUGGAGAAAUGUAGAAAGGACAAGUGAAGAAACUCUCACCACUUAUCCUUGUUUUUUUCGGGGACUUAUCCUUGUUGUUCUACUUAUUUUCUUUUCUUUUGCAUUGGAUAUUCAUAGGAUAAGUGAAUAAAUCUAUUAAAUUAGUUUGU